rnacentral:lncRNA from 1 species
CUGGAGGUGAUGAAGCACUGGUUGUGAGCCAGAUCAAAACCCUGUCCUGGGGAGACAAUUGGGUAUGUCCAGGUGCAGUUGUUCAAUGUGAUUUAGUCCCUACCAGGAGGUCUGGUUGCCUGGGUUCAGAACAGCAGAGGAAAAAUUAGACAAAAGACACAUUCAGAAGUCAAGGUGCUCUGACAGUUCAGCAGACAUAUGACCUAACUUCAACCAGCAGACAGGAUCUGACCUAGGAAAGAUGAAGACAAAAACCAGAUCUCAAACAGAUGUAUUGUAGUUCAAGGUAGGGCAAUCAGACCUGUAGGAAGACUGAGCAGGCCACUGAAUUGGGCCCCCGAAAGAGAAGCCCAGACAUGAGGACUGGACCCACCCAGGAACUGGGAGUAAAGCAAUUUGGGGACAGUUGGGUCCUAGGCCUCGCCUCUAGGAAACCUGGAUUGCCCAGUCGGUGCUGAAGGUGUCUCAGAUCUGCUUGGAUCUAUAAUAUUGGACCUGGAUUUCAGGGGAAGUGUGUAUCUGGAAAUAAAAAUCAGAAAAUUUGGAGAAUAAAAGAACAAGGAAAAUUAAGGAAGGAUUUUUUUCAACCUUAAAAGCCACCUUGAGAAAUGAGAGAAGAGAGGAUUGGCUACUCGGUAUUGUGCUUUCUGCUGUCUACCUAGAAGACUUGAGGAAGAAGCCCCUUCACAUUCAUCAGUCACUUGAAUGACAUGAAAGACAGGAUGUUUCUUGCACUAACACCCGUGUGUUCAAAUGGAAAACCUCAUGUAACAGGAAGCCUCGCUAGCAAAAGACUAAUUUUCUGUGAAGUUCUGGCUAAACUAAGGAAAAGUCUGAUUAAGAAAGCACUUCUAAAGAAAU